rnacentral:rRNA from 1 species
UACGUAGGUGGCAAGCGUUAUCCGGAAUUAUUGGGCGUAAAGCGCGCGCAGGCGGUCCUUUAAGUCUGAUGUGAAAGCCCACGGCUCAACCGUGGAGGGUCAUUGGAAACUGGGGGACUUGAGUGCAGAAGAGGAGAGCGGAAUUCCACGUGUAGCGGUGAAAUGCGUAGAGAUCCGGAGGAACACCGAAGGCGAAGGCAGUGUCCUGGCGAGUGACUGACGCUGAGGUGCGAAAGCCAGGGGAGCGAACGGG